CCUACGGGAGGCAGCAGUCGAGAGGCUUUGGCAAUGGGGGAAACCCUGACCAAGCGACGCCGCGUGGACGAUGAAGGCCUUCGGGUCGUAAAGUCCUGUCAUGCGGGAAGAAACAUUGACGUUCGAACAGGGCGUCAAUUUGACGGUACCGCAAGAGGAAGCUCCGGCUAACUCCGUGCCAGCAGCCGCGGUAAUACGGGGGGAGCAAGCGUUGUUCGGAAUUACUGGGCGUAAAGGGCGUGUAGGCGGCCAGACUAGUGGGGCGUGAAAUCCUCUGGCUCAACCAGAGAACUGCGUCUCAAACAGUUUGGCUUGAGUACAGGAGAGGAGAGUGGAAUUCCCGGUGUAGCGGUGAAAUUCGUAGAUAUUGGGAGGAACACCCGUGGCGAAGGCGACUCUCUGGACCAAUACUGACGCUGAGGCGCGAAAGCGUGGGGAGCAAACAGGAUUAGAUACCCUGGUAGUCCACGCUGUAAACGAUGAGCACUAGGUGUAGCGGGUAUUGACCCCUGCUGUGCCGUAGCUAACGCAUUAAGUGCUCCGCCUGGGGAGUACGGCCGCAAGGCUAAAACUUAAAGGAAUUGACGG
rnacentral:rRNA from 1 species